CCAUCCAUUGUAAUGUCCUCUUGCUCUCGUUUAAUCGACUCAUCUCACUGUUGUCUCGUAUCUGUAAUAACUAAUGUACUAUGUUGAUGUCUGAAAGUUGCCAGUUACAUUGCGUUUUGCUCUUUUAUAAACCUCAAAGAAGUUCAUCUAACUCAUCCCAUUCAUUAACAAGACGCAUGCUUCUUGUAAUUUAGCACCAUAUGAAUUUGCUGAUCUUUCCUUUUCGAUUUGACCUAAGGAAAUGAUAUUUCUACUUGCGCAGUUCUACGAUCACUUCUUUGACUGGGGCCUGAAGGAGGAGAUCGGCAAGUUGACAGCGAUAAGGGCACGGAACCGGAUUAACGAGAAGAGCAGCGUGAAGAUCUUGGCUUCUGAUUCUGAUUUAUACGUGGCCAAGAUCGACGAUGGAGUGAUUAUGAAGAUUGGGCCUAGGUUUGAAGUAGGAAACCUUGUUCCUCCCAAUUAUCAGAUUGCUACAUCCGGCCAAGAUUAUUGUGUGUGGGAGAAGAAGUGAUGUUCAGGCAAACUUAAGAAUAAGCAGCAACUGAAAGAGCAAUUAUAGGUUGCAUUGUUUGAAAUAAAAAUUUACAAGCGGUCUUAUGCACCGUAUGGAAGUAAGUUAAAAUUUUUCGUUCAACCUCUGUUAUUUAUAUAAGGUUGUCAAUUAUCGACACCAUAUGCAAUUAAACAUGUUUAAAUUUGGCAUAAAUGGGUUUGUGUAUUCCCAUUUACGACACAUUCAAAAUUAUAUCUUAGGCCGGAGGUAAUUUGUUUCAACAGGACAUAAUUAGACAUGUUUAACACUCACAUUUAAUGACUUUUUUAUUAUUAAAAGUUUAUAACAAUAACACCCAUUUCAAAAAGAAAAAAAUAAAAUAAAAGCAUAUGAAAGGAUAAAAAAGUCCGUAAACAAAAUGAAAUUCAAUGGUGCACUGUACAUUAGUGAUAAGUAGAUUUGGAGUAAAGUAAAACAACAUAUCUAGUCGCUAAUUAAGCCGAUCUAACCACCUAACAUACAAUAACGAAUAAUUAAAUCGCUAUUUCAUUCUAAAUAAAAAUAUAAACCAUACUUAACCUAAACUAAUCAACCAUUAAGCAUAAUUAACUCUUUAAGCAGAGUUUAGUGAGUGAACUCACUAGUUUUGAAAUCCGAUGAGUUCGCGGUGAUGGCAACGCGGAAAUGGGCGACAAACUCCGAAGCGAUGACACCCUACAAGGCCUGAAAGCGUUCCGAAACGAGCCUAGAAGGCCCACAGCUAGUUGAGGGCUUCAGUUCUGCUUGAUGGGCCGAGAGAGAUCUAGGCGACGGGCUGAGCUGGAAACGGCCAAGGUGGCUAGUGUAGACUGCUGCGAGACUAGGUGGCGGCGGACAGUGGCUCGAGUGACCACGACGGCAACCACGACGGCUGGACGACAUUGGACGAUGGCAAGUAGGGUGCGAACGUGAGUAGGGGACCCACGGACUUAGGCGCGUAAAUGAGCAGAACCAGAGGGCGAGCGGCGACCUGGCAACGAUUAGAUGGGUGUGUGACGGGCAAGGGCAGGAGGCUACUCGGUCUCUUGCAAUUUUUGGGAGCUUCCAAGGUUGAAAAUGGAGAAAGCAAGUCUUGUUGAAGAAGAAAGGCCAGCUGCAAGAGUGGAGGGACCCCUUGGCCCCAAAGUCUCCAUUCCUAUGUCCUUUGUCCCCUUGGCAAGGCCCCACCUGUUUUAGCUAAUCCUCAGCCAAUUUUGUGCACACAAAACCCCCUAAAACAAGUUCCAAAUGGUCCAAAAGUUGAGGGGGACCAUGACAUAAGAAUUUGACACCAAAUUCCCCAAAUUGAGUUCAAUUCUCCUCCGAUUGGGUUCAAUUCAGUCUCCAUAAAUUCCACCAAGGUGUCCUCAACCAAAUUGACAUUUUUCCUCCCCAAUAAAAUCAACUUGCAUCCCAAAAACACGAUAAAAAUGUCCCUGAAUUUUCUGGACAAGAACAACCAAAUUUUGAAUUUUCGCCAAAAAUCUCGGUUUGCAGAAAAGUCUUUGGAGGAUGUUCCUAAAAUGAAUCGUGACAUGACAAAAUUUUCAAUUUCUAAAAUCAGAUUCAAAUUCGCGGUUAAUUUUAAUUUAGCGCGAUUUUAGAGUGACCUAGCCUACCAGGUAGCUUUUAGAAAUUUCUAGUACAAUUGACCCGUUGUCGAUUUAUUUCGAGUCACAAUGUACAUCUUCGACACAUUAGCGACUCUCGACUAUUAGAAAAUCUCAAGGUUUCAAAUACGGGCACAAGGUACCCAAAACGACAAAAAAAUGGGUUAGUACCGAUCGACGAAAAUUUUGUAAUCGGGUGGAAUCACUCAUAUUUUGAUCACAUAUCUUUGUCGAAUCGACCUAUCUAUGAUCUAUGUUCGAUUUUGACAAUGUCGUAAUGAUUCUUGCAGACUAGCACGGUCAAGCAAUCGAUUCUUAAUCGAAUUCUCAAGUCUAUUAUGUUAAAAUCCCUUAACGGUUUCGCUUGAUAGACUAGUUAUCUCGUGAGUGGCCAACUCAGAGAAAAGAAUUAUAGGCGUGUCGAUGAAAUGCCCAACUUAUUCAAUAAAGAAACAUAGCUUGAAAUUUAGGAUGUCACACGUCGUCUGUGAUUGGGUUCAACAGGGGCGAAUGCCGAAGCUGCUUGGCUCAUCAAGAACCGGAAAUGUUCGUGGGGAGUGCAGGUUGGCGAAAUUUCAAUCAGCGUUGGGAAGAACAAUGAAGUCAGUCUUUGAAAUAUGAUAUCACUUUCUUUAAUAAAUUAUUUUCCUCACAACUUGGCUAAUAGUCACCUGCAAAUUUCGUCCAAUAUACAACAAAAUCUCGUUUGAGAAUACUAGAUAGAAGUAUUUCUCUAAGGUCUUUCAAGGAAAACAAUUGGAAACAAUGGCUAUAUAUUUUUUGAAAGAAAAUGAAAUUAGAAGCUGAAGAUCAUUAUUGAACAAACAUGUUCAGUAAUUAAUAUAAAAAAACAAGAAGGUAUAUCGGAAUAGACACAACCUUUCAAAGAUUAAAAAAGUUAUGCCUGAACAUAUAUGAACUUUGAAAUAACCAUUGGAAGAAGUAAUAAAAUUGGGAAUUAAAUACAUAAAAAAUAAAAAUUAUCAUAAUUUUUUCAUAAAUAGUCACACUGUUCUAAUAGGAUAUUACAUUUAAUUUUUAUAAUUAUAAAUCCGAUUUUUAAUAAAUAAAAAAUAAUGAUCAUUGAUUAGUGUCAAAUUUUGUCUAUGUGCGCACUCACAUAUUUUUGAUGUGGGAUAAGGCAUCUCUUGAUUUGUUUUAUAAAUAAAAUACCAAGGAUGCUUAAUUGCUUAUAACAUUGUUGCUUGGUAGUAGUUUUCCUUUCGGCAAGUGACUCCUUUUACUGUUCGUCCCGUAUAGACCGAUGAAAUCAAAUUUUUAGUACAUGUUGUUUAUGUUCUGUUUCCCCCAGUUCCUAGAUGGGUUGCGAUAGCGUAAUAUGGUUGAGUAUGAAAGCUUAGAUCUUGCCAGUUGGGAGAAUAUUGGUCAUUCAAGAGUAUCGCAUUAUCUAUGCCUGGAACAUGGACACGCCACGCAACGAUAUGCUCUUUGUGGCCAGUCGGGGUUCUAUACUGAAACGGUAUUAGUUAGGAAAUCUGCUGCUUAGAACUCUACGUUAGGACCACUGAACCCAUGGUUCCCUAUAAUUUUCUCUCUCUAUUUGGGGUUGCAAUUACCAUGUGAUUUCUGGCUAACCCUGUUGCCUAAUCCACUUCUCUAAUCAUCACAGGAUCUUGCUUGAAAGCGAAGUAUUGAGGAGUAAUGUGAAGUAUUGACCUUUGAGGAAGACAGGCCAAAAACGAAAGAAACAGAAGGAAUCUUGACUCAGCGAAGACUUUGCUCUCUGUUGUUUUUUUCUUGGCACGACUCUCAGUCGAUUCAGACUUCUGAAGCGUCACGUGGGUUACGCGGCGUGCCAUUUACGUUGCAUUCACUUCCUGUUUUCUUGGCCACCCAACGUCCUUAGCCUACCCCUCUCGGUUGCCAUUGGCCAACAAUCUAAUACGCGUUUGUGGAAUACAAAGUCGGACUUUUAAUCCGAGUGGCAGUCCCCUCCUGCGCCCUUUCCACGUCCAUUCCUCUAAAUUGUCCUGUUUCCUUUGAUUUGUCAGUAGUCAUCCUCUUCAUGCGCCUUUGACAUGUCCAAUCUAAAAUUAUCCAUGGCAUAGCUGACUGGUUCCCCCUAAAAGAUCAGAGAAAGAAAAAGGAAGGAGCAUGUGAUGAUGAGUUCUCCCUCUCUCUUCUGGCUCUUCGUUCUCUCGGUCUCUUACCUCGCCGCCUCAGCAUCCCCUGCCUUGUUAUUUCAGGUGAGAUAGAGAAAUCAACGUCUUGUUCUUCAUUACGAUACAAAGUGACAGAAAGCAAUAGAGAUUCCAUUUAUAUGCUUUACUUGUUGAGUUAUAUGUCUGACUGUUCAAGAAUUUGGGCGUUAUCUGAACAAAGGGGUUCAACUGGGAAUCUUGGAAGAAGGAAGGGGGAUGGUACAAUUCGCUCAAGAACUUGGUACCGGAUUUGGCCAAUGCUGGAAUUACUCAUGUGUGGCUUCCUCCACCGUCUCAAUCCGCCGCUCAACAAGGUAUAUCGCCGUGCCCUAACUCCUAAUAAUAAAAAAUCACUCAGUUUCCUUCUACGGUUGCGCUUGCCUGUAGUGUAGUGAUGGUUGAUGAAUAUGAUAGUGAUUACGGGCUAAAUCAUCAGAAUUAAUAGUUCUGGACUGCUAGUCCAGGAUGAAUUGAUGUUUGAUGCAUUCGACAAUCUUGGAUCAAAUUCAACCGUGUGGUUUCUGAGAAGAAAUAGACCCUCGAAAGAAAUCCUCUAUAUGAACAUCUGUUCCAAGGUUAGAAUUUAGUGGGACUCAUAUUUUGAUGAAUGCCAUCCCCUCUUUUCUCUAGGGUACCUGCCUGGGCGGCUCUAUGAUCUCAAUGCUUCGAGCUACGGGAAUCAGGAUGAGUUGAAGCAUCUUAUUGAUGCUUUCCAUCAAAAGGGGAUCAAAUGCCUGGCCGACAUAGUGAUUAACCACAGGACUGCGGAAAAACAAGAUAGCCGGGGAAUAUGGUGCAUCUUCGAAGGCGGAACACCCGACGAUCGUCUUGACUGGGGGCCAUCCUUUAUUUGUCGCAAUGAUGCUAAUUACUCUGAUGGCAUGGGUAAUCCUGAUACAGGGGAGGACUACGAGUUUGCGCCCGACAUAGACCACCUCAAUCCGAGGGUGCAAAAGGAGCUGUCUGACUGGAUGAAUUGGUUGAAGAGCGAUAUAGGAUUUGAUGGGUGGCGAUUUGAUUUCGUAAAGGGUUACUCCUCGAGCAUCACCAAAAUCUAUAUGGAUCGGACUUUGCCGAAUUUUGCGGUGGGAGAGAAUUGGGAAUCGCUCUCUUAUGGACAGGAUGGGAAGCUCAACCCAAACCAGGAUGCACACCGCCUUAAGCUGGCGGAUUGGGUCAAUGCUGCAGGCGGGGCCAUCACGGCGUUUGAUUUCACCACGAAGGGGAUCCUCCAGGCGGCCAUUGAAAGGGAGCUUUGGCGGUUGAGGGAUUCAAACGGGAUGCCACCGGGAUUGAUUGGCCUGCAGCCAAGAAGCGCCGUGACUUUCAUCGACAAUCACGACACUGGUUCCACGCAGAAAAUGUGGCCGUUUCCCUCCUAUAAGGUCAUGCAGGGAUAUGCCUACAUCCUCACCCAUCCCGGAGUCCCAUCCAUUGUAAUGUCCUCUUCCUCUCGUUUAAUCGACUCAUCUCACUGUUGUCCCGUGUCUGUCCCGUGUCUGUGAUAACUAAUGUACUAUGUUGAUGUCUGAAAGUUGCCAGUUACAUUGCGUUUUGCUCUUUUAUAAACCUCAAAGAAGUUCAUCUAACUCAUCCCAUUCAUUAACAAGACGCAUGCUUCUUGUAAUUUAGCACCAUAUGAAUUUGCUGAUCUUUCCUUUUCGAUUUGACCUAAGGAAAUGAUAUUUCUACUUGCGCAGUUCUACGAUCACUUCUUUGACUGGGGCCUGAAGGAGGAGAUCGGCAAGUUGACAGCGAUAAGGGCACGGAACCGGAUUAACGAGAAGAGCAGCGUGAAGAUCUUGGCUUCUGAUUCUGAUUUAUACGUGGCCAAGAUCGACGAUGGAGUGAUUAUGAAGAUUGGGCCUAGGUUUGAAGUAGGAAACCUUGUUCCUCCCAAUUAUCAGAUUGCUACAUCCGGCCAAGAUUAUUGUGUGUGGGAGAAGAAGUGAUGUUCAGGCAAACUUAAGAAUAAGCAGCAACUGAAAGAGCAAUUAUAGGUUGCAUUGUUUGAAAUAAAAAUUUACAAGCGGUCUUAUGCACCGUAUGGAAGUAAGUUAAAAUUUUUCGUUCAACCUCUGUUAUUUAUAUAAGGUUGUCAAUUAUCGACACCAUAUGGAAUAAAUGGGUUUGUGUAUUCCCAUUUACGACACAUUCAAAAUUAUAUCUUAGGCCGGAGGUAAUUUGUUUCAACAGGACAUAAUUUGUUUCAACAGGACAUAAUUAGACAUGUUUAACACUCACAUUUAAUGAUUUUUUUAUUAUUAAAAGUUUAUAACAAUAACACCCAUUAAAAGCAUAUGAAAGGAUAAAAAAGUCUGUAAACAAAAUGAAAUUCAAUGAUGCACUGUACAUUAGUGAUAAGUAGAUUUGGAGUAAAGUAAAACAACAUAUCUAGUUGCUAAUUAAGCCGAUCUAACCACCUCACAUGCAAUAACAAAUAAUUAAAUCGCUAUUCCAUUCUAACUAACCACAUAAACCAUACUUAACCUAAACUAAUCAACCAUUAAGCAGAAUUAACUUCAUAAGUAGAGUUUAGUGAGUAAACUCACCGGUUUUGAAAUCCGAUGAGUUCGCGGUGAUUGUAAUGCGGAAAUGGGCGACAAACUCCGAAGCGACGACAUCCUACAAGGCCUGAAAGCGGUCCAAAACGAGCCUAGAAGGCCCACGGCUAGUUGAGGGCUUCGGUUUUGCUUUAUGGGUCGAGAGAGAUCUAGGCGACGGGCUGAGCUGGAAACGGCCAAGGUGGCUAGCGUAGAUUGCUGCGGGACUAGGUGGCGGCGGACGGUGGCUCGAGUGACCACGACGGCGACCACAACGGCUGGAUGACGUUGGACGACAGCAAGUAGGGUGCGAACACGAGUAGGGGACCCGCAGACUUAGGCGCGUAAAUGAGCAGAACUAGAGGGCGAGCGACGACCUGGCAACAGUCAGACGGGUGUGCGACGGGCAAGGGUAGGAGGCUACUCGAUCUCUUGCAAUUUUUGGGAGUUUCCAAGCUUGAAAAUGGAGAAAGCAAGUCUUGUUGAAGAAGAAAAGCCAGUUGCAAGAGUGGAGGGACCCUUUGGCCCCAAAGUCUCCAUUCCUAUCUCCUUUGUCCCCUUGGCAAGGCCCCACCUGUUUCAGCUAAUCCUUAGCCAAUUUUGUACACACAAAACCCCCUAGAACAAGUUCCAAAUGGUCCAAAAGUUGAGGGGGACCAUGACAUACAAAUUUGACACCAAAUUCCCCAAAUUGAGUUCAAUUCUCCUCCAAUUGGGUUCAAUUCGGUCUCCAUAAAUUCCACCAAGGUGUCCUCAACCAAAUUGACAUUUUUCCUCACUAAUAAAAUCAACUUGCAUCCUAAAAACGCGAUAAAAAUUGGUCCCUGAAUUUUCCGGACAAAAACAGCCCAAUUUUGAAUUUUCGUCAAAAAUCUCAGUUUGCAGAAAAAUCUUUGGAGGAAGAGUUGACAUUCCUAAAAUGAAUUGUGACAUGAAAAAACUUUCAAUUUCUGAAAUCGGAUUCAAAUUCGCAGUUAAUUUUAAUCUAGCGCGAUUUUAGAAUGACCUAGCCUACUGGAUAGCUUUUAGAAAUUUUUAGUGCAAUUGACCCGUGGUCGAUUUAUUUCGAGUCACAAUGUACAUCUUUGACACAUUAGCGACUCUUGAUUGUUGAGAAAAUCUCAAUGUUUAAAAUACGGGCAUAGGGUACCCAAAACGACAAAAAAAUCGGUCAAUACCGAUCGACGAGAAUUUUGUAAUCAGGUGGAAUCACUCAUACUUUGAUCAUACUAUGAUCUAUGUUCGAUUUUGACAAUGUCGUAAUGACUCUUGCAGACUAGCACGGUCAAGCAAUUGAUUCUUAAUCGAAUUCUCAAGUCUAUUGCGUUAAAAUCCCUUAACGGCUUCGCUUGAUAGGCUAGUUAUCUCGUGAUUAGCCAACUCAGAGAAAAGAAUUAUAGGCGUGUCGAUGAAAAGCUCAACUUAUUCAAUAAAAAAACAUAGCCUGAAAUUCAGGAUGUCACACGUCAUCCGUGAUUGGGUUCAACAGGGGCGAAUGCCGAAUCUGCUUGGCUCAUCAAAAACCGGAAAUGUUUGUGGGGAGUGCAUGUUGGCGAACUUUCAAUCAGCGUUGGGAAGAACAAUGAAGUCAAUCUUUGAAAUAUGAUAUCACUAUCUUUAAUGAAUUAUUUUCCUCACAACUUGGCUAAUAGUCACCUGCAAAUUUCGUCCAAGAUACAACAAAAUCUCGUUUGAGAAUACUAGAUAGAAAUAUUUCUCUAAGAUCUUUCAAGGAAAACAAUUGGAAACAAUGGCUAUAUAUUUUUUUGAAAGAAAAUAAAAUUAGAAGCCGAAGAUCAUUAUUGAACAAACAUGUUCAGUAAUUAAUAUAAAGAACAAGAAGGUAUAUCGGAAUAGACACAACCUUCCAAAGAUUAAAAAGUUAUGCCUAACAUGUAUGAACUUUGAAAUAACCAUUGGAAGAAGUAAUAAAAUUGGGAAUUAAAUACAUAAAAAAUAAAAAUUAUCAUAAUUUUUUCAUAAACAGUCACAUUGUUCUAAUAGGACAUUACUUUUAAUUUUUAUAAUUAUAAAUCCGAUUUUUAAUAAAUAAAAAAUAAUGAUCAUUGAUUAGUGUCGAAUUUUGUCUAUGUGCGCAUUCACAUCUUUUUGAUGUGGGAUAAGGCAUCUCUUGAUUUGUUUUAUAAAUAAACUACCAAGGAUGCUUAAUUGCUUAUAGCAUUGUUGCUUGGCAGUAGUUUUCCUUUCGGCAAGUGACUCCUUUUACUGUUCGUCCCAUAUAGACCGAUGAAAUCAAAUUUUUAGUACAUGUUGUUUAUGUUCUGUUUCCCCCAGUGGGUUGCGUUAGCGUAAUAUAUGGUUGAGUAUAGGGGUGAGCGGUUCCCGGUUCCUUACAGGUUCCGCUUGGAACCUGGAACCUACCCUCGGGUACACGUUCUUCAUUUUUUGGAACCUGGAACCUACCCGUCAAAACCGAGAACCUGGAACCUACCCUGUCACAGGUUCCGGGGUCGGUUCCGGUUCCAACAGGUUCUUUUUUUUUUUUUCAUUUUUAGUUAAAAAAAUGAAAAUGAAUGCAGCAAUAAUAAACAAACUUGUCAUUCAUUGAAGAUAAUAUAACACAAAUAGCAAACAGCAUUUUAGAAGUAAUAAACAAGCCGUCAUUUGAACAACACACUUCAUUCUAAAUGAUCUUUGCCUUAAUCAAAUCGAAAGUUUCUUGCUGUGCUCGGAACUAACGUACCCUGUCUCCAAUUGGAUUGAGUAUCCCAUCUCUAAAAGCUGAAAACAGCAGCAAACAUAACUUAGCACCACCAAAAUUAAAAAAGAGAAGACCCAAACAACUAAAACUUCCAGAUAUGCUAAGAAGGGUUACUUACGCACAGUGAUAGAGCCAUGCUGCUUUUGCUGCACAGGAUAACUAAACAGCUUAAUAACUCGGCAUGCUGACGUUCAAAUUAGGAAUGCGCAUCAGGGGUUGAUAAGGAUAUACUUUAGUCUUUUGAGAAAGAGCGGCACCCCAGGUAGUUUAGCCUGUAUCUCCUCAAACAUUUUAUCCACUCUAACAGCAGGAGGGGCUCUUCUGAAUUGGGGGCUUUCCUCAAACACGUCAAAAGGUUGUUCGGUGAGCUGCAUCAUUGAUGGUCACGGACUAUUCAUUAGCUUAUCGGAAGAUGUUGCAUUAUAAUUGACACACAAGAUAUAAGAAACACAAUUAACAGGGCAAUCAGGGGAUAAAAGAGGUGUCUAUCAGUCAUCAAGGAAAAUGUUGCAGCAGACAGGAUAUAAGACUCACAAGUCCUUUCAUUUCAGCUAAUCUAGUCAGGUCUCUUAUAAGCCCACGCAUGUCACACCGAGCAAAGAAGUUCACCACAGCCCAUUUCUGUAUCUUAGCUGGCUCAACAAAUUUCUGCAGAAGAGUGAAAAGAUAGCAUAAACAGACUUAUUGAACACAAUAAUUGGUGGCGGAUAAUUCAAAUAACCUUAUUCUAAAAGCUCCACCGUCCAUUGUGGGGGAAGAAAUCCUCUCCAUUGCCCACGUUUAGCUGGGAAGGAAGCCACAGAAGUUUGUGUUAUUGCAGAUGAUUGUCUAACAGUCCAUUGCAAACAAACAGAAUUUCUUUUUUUUCUUUUUUCUUUUUUUAUCCAGCAAACAAAAUGCAAAAGGGAAACUAGCAGUGGCACCUUAGGAGCCGGUAGAACACGGCCUUCAACUUGAGUAAAGCUAUUGCUAAUUGUUAUACCGCAUGAACGCAGCAUAGGUUCAGAAUCAUAGUUGCUACGCUCCAAUCUGAUCCUUCACUUGAAACUGAUAAGUCCAGUCCUGUUUCAGAUCAUGAAAUCCUUUGGCUGCUUCCUCACAUACAUGCUUUCCGAGAUGGAGUUUGAACCAUACUCUAGAUUCCAAAUUCAUCAGGACUGCAGACUUUGUAGACUCUUUAGCGCGAUUAAGUUGCACUUGAGUAACUGCCAAAAAGAAAAAAUUUCAAUUAGUGUCAGGGCACACUAGAAACAAAAUAACAAGAAUGGCACAUUGAAGAAAAUAAACAGAUGCAGCAUGAACCUUGUCCAGGUGUUGCCAGUGCUAUUAAUUCUUCAGCAGCCACAUCAACGGCUUUUGCCACAAAGUCAGAGCUCUGCUAACCAAAUUUAGAAGAAAAUGAUAAGCUCAGAAGUAAUUAGCAAAACACUAAAAGUUUGUCACUGCCAGUAACUUUGUCAACACCUAGUCAGUGGCACUCCAUGCUGACAGAAGCUAAAAAGAUUAAGUUCGAAUUUACCAUAGGUUUUCAUGUUUUAACCAAUAUCAGGCAUUAGGGACCCCAAUUCACUUUUUUUCUUAUGUCUCCUGGUCAGUGCCAAAACAACGAGUAAACCCGCGCCACGAGCCCUAGCAAAUCCAACCAAAGCCAUCGACGUCCAAAGAGAGGGACAUACCUUGAGGAUGAGAAUCUCGUUGUCGAGGAGGCGAAAGCCAGCCCAAGCUUCAAAGCCCCGCGCUUUCGAAUCGAGCAAAGAGAAUACAACACAAAUGCUCAAAAGCUUAAAAAGAACGAUGCAGAGAGAGAGAGAGCUUACGGUCUUUGCCNNNNNNNNNNNNNNNNNNNNNNNNNNNNNNNNNNNNNNNNNNNNNNNNNNNNNNNNNNNNNNNNNNNNNNNNNNNNNNNNNNNNNNNNNNNNNNNNNNNNNNNNNNNNNNNNNNNNNNNNNNNNNNNNNNNNNNNNNNNNNNNNNNNNNNNNNNNNNNNNNNNNNNNNNNNNNNNNNNNNNNNNNNNNNNNNNNNNNNNNNNNNNNNNNNNNNNNNNNNNNNNNNNNNNNNNNNNNNNNNNNNNNNNNNNNNNNNNNNNNNNNNNNNNNNNNNNNNNNNNNNNNNNNNNNNNNNNNNNNNNNNNNNNNNNNNNNNNNNNNNNNNNNNNNNNNNNNNNNNNNNNNNNNNNNNNNNNNNNNNNNNGGUGACGGUGGCUUGGGGACGGCGGCGGUGCCUCACGGCGGCGCGGACAGCAAGACAGCUCGUCGGGCUAAACGGUGAGACGGCUUGUCGGACGAGCAGUGGGUGGUGGGGGUUCGGUGGCCAAGAGGUGGUGGUGAGUAGGGCGUGGGGCAGCGGUGUGGUGGUGGGUGAAGCAGCAACCGGCGAGAGGAAGGAAGAAGAAGAAGAAGAAGAAGAAGAGGUGGGAGGGUUCGGCUGAGAGAGGAGGAGAGAGAGAGAGAGGGGAAAAGAAAAAAGUGGGGGGCAGGAAGUGACGUGAGGAGGAAAAAGGGGAGAAAAGAGAGAGAGAAAAAGAAAGGGAAAGGGGGGAAAAUUGAAGGGGGGGGAAUUCGAGCGAAAGGGAUUAGGGUUUUUUUAUUUUUUAACUUUGCCGGUUCUGGUUCCUGUGGGAACCGGAACCGGAACCGGGAACCGCCGGUUCCUGGAAAAAGAGAACCGGGAACCGGAACCGGUCCCCUUAGAACCGGGAACCGAACCGGAACCUCCUCCGGUUCGGUUCCGGUUCCCGGUUCUAACCGGAACCACGCUCACCCCUAGUUGAGUAUGAAAGCUUAGAUCUUGCAAGUUAGGAGAAUAUUGGUGGGUCAUUAAGGGAUAUGCGGACCCUUGGAGUACCUUAACUUUGCCCAAAGAGACACUUAAGUGUUAUAACUUACGAAAUGUACACUUAAGUGCCAAAAUCGGAGUAAAAUGGAUCACUUGAGUGCCAAUCUGGUCAAAGUCCAGCCAAAACGUUAACGUGGCAUUUUUCGGGCGAACCGAGUCCAAAACGACGCUGUUUUGCACGCUGACAUGACCAAAAUAUGCAAAAACGGCGUUGUUUUGAGCUGACGUGGUAAAAAAAAAUAAUUAAAUUAAAUUUAAAAAUAAUAAUUUUAAAAUUAAAUUUAGUUAAAAUAUUUAAAAAUAAUAAUUUUAAAAUUAAAUUUAGUUGAAAUAUUAAAAAUUUAAUUAAAAAUAAUAAUUUUAAAAUUAAAUUCAACCGCCGUCGCCGCCGCCCCGCCGCCGUCGGGAAGGGCCGGGCGAGGGCCGCCGCCCGCUGGGGGUCGCCACAGCGAGCGGCGGCCCUUGGUCCGACUAGGCGAGGGCUGCCGACCCUCACUAGAUCUAGGCAAGGGCGGCGACGGCUGAGGGCGAUCCCUUAGCCGCCUCCCCCCUUUCCUUUUUUUUUUUUUUUUAAUUUUUUAAAAUUUUAAAAUUUUAAAAUUAUUAAUUUUUUAAUAUUUCAACUAAAUUUAAUUUUAAAAUUAUUAAUUUUAAAUAUUUUAACUCAAUUUAAUUUUUAAUUUAAUUUAAUUAUUUUUAAUUAUUUUUUUUACCACAUCAGCACAAAAACAACGUCGUUUUUGCAUUAUUUAGCCACGUCAGCGUGCAAAAUGACGUCGUUUUGGGCGCGCUUUGCCGGAAAAAUGCAACGUCGGCAUUUUGGCCGGAGUAGCACUCAAGUGAUUCGUUUUUCUUCGAAUGUGGCACUUAGGUGUAUCUUUCGUAAGUUAUGGCACUUAAAUAUCUCUUUGGACAAAGUUAUGGUACUUAAAGCGUUCUUUUGCCAUCAUUCAGGAGUAUCGCAUUAUCUAUGCCUGGAACAUGGACACGCCACGCACCGAUAUGAUCUUUGUGGCCAGUCGGGGUUCUCUAUUGAAACGGUAUUAGUUACGAAAUCUACUGCUUAGAACUACGUUAAGCCCACUGAACCCAUGGUUCCCUAUAAUUUUCUCUUUCUAUUUGGGGUUGCAAUUACCAUGUGAUUUCUGGCUAACCCUGUUGCCUAAUCCACUUCCCUAAUCAUCACAUGGUCUUGCUUGAAAACGAAGUAUUGAGGGGUAAUGUGAAAUAUCGACCUUUGAGGAAGACAGGCCAAACACGAAAGAAACAGAACGAAACUUGACUUAGCGAAGUCUUUGCUCUCUGUUGUUUUUUUCUUGGCACGACUCUCAGUCGAUUCAGACUUCUGAAGCUUCACGUGGGUUACGCGGCGUGCCAUUUACGUUGCAUUCACUUCCUGUUUUCUUGGCCACCCAACGUCCUUAGCCUACCCCUCUCGGUUGCCAUUGGCCAACAAUCUAAUACGCGUUUGUGGAAUACAAAGUCGGACUUUUAAUCCGAAUGGCAGCCCCCUGCUGCUCGACUUUCCACGUCCAUUCCUCUAAAUUGUCCUGUUUCCUUUGAUUUGUCAGGAGUCAUCCUCUUCAUGCGCCUUUGACAUGUCCAAUCUAAAAUUUCCAUGACAUAGCCCUCCGGUUCCAAUUAAAAGAUCAGAGAAAGAAAAAGGAAGGAGCAUGUGAUGAUGAGUUCUCCCUCUCUCUUCUGGCUCUUCGUUCUUUUGGUCUUUUACCUCGCCGCCUCAGCAUCCCCUGCCUUGUUAUUUCAGGUGAGAUAGAGAAAUCAACGUCUUGUUCUUCAUUACGAUACAAAGUGACAGAGAAAGCAAUGGAGAUUUCAUUUAUAUGCUUUACUUGUUGAGUUAUAUGUCUGACUGUUCAAGAAUUUGGGCGUUAUCUGAACAAAGGGGUUCAACUGGGAAUCUUCGAAGAAGGAAGGGGGAUGGUACAAUUCGCUCAAGAACUUGGUACCGGAUUUGGCCAAUGCUGGAAUUACUCAUGUGUGGCUUCCUCCACCGUCUCAAUCUGCCGCUCAACAAGGUAUAUCGCUGUGCCCUAACUCCUAAUAAUAAAAAAUCACUCAAUUUCCUUCUACAGUUGCGCUUGCCUGCAGUGUAGUGAUGAUUGAUGAAUAUGAUAGUGAUUACGGGCUAAAUCAUCAGAAUUAAUAGUUCUGGACUGCUAGUCCAGGAUGAAUUGAUGUUUGAUGCAUUCGACAAUCUUGGAUCAAAUUCAACCGUGUGGUUUCUGAGAAGAAAUAGAUCCUCAAAAGAAAUACUCUAUAUGAACAUCUGUUCCAAGGUUAGAAUUUAGUAGGACUCAUUUUGAUGAAUGCCAUCCCCUCUUUUCUCUAGGGUACCUGCCUGGGCGGCUCUAUGAUCUCAAUGCUUCGAGCUACGGGAAUCAGGAUGAGUUGAAGCAUCUUAUUGAUGCUUUCCAUCAAAAGGGAAUCAAAUGCCUGGCCGACAUAGUGAUUAACCACAGGACUGCGGAAAAACAAGAUAGCCGGGGAAUAUGGUGCAUCUUCGAAGGCGGAACACCCGACGAACGUCUUGACUGGGGGCCGUCCUUUAUUUGUCGCGAUGACACUGAGUUCUCUGAUGGCAUGGGUAAUCUUGAUACAGGUGGGGACUUCAAUAAUACGCCCGACAUAGACCACCUCAAUCCGAGGGUGCAAAAGGAGCUGUCUGACUGGAUGAAUUGGUUGAAGAGCGAUAUAGGAUUUGAUGGGUGGCGAUUCGAUUUCGUACUGGGUUAUGACCCAAGCAUCACCAAAAUCUACAUGGAUCGGACUUUGCCGAAUUUUGCGGUGGGAGAGAACUGGGACUCGCUCUCUUAUGGACAGGAUAAGAAGCCCAACCCAAACCAGGAUGCACACCGCCAUAAGCUGGCGGAAUGGGUCAAUGCUGCAGGCGGGGCCGUCACGGCAUUUGAUUUCACCACGAAGGGGAUCCUCCAGGCGGCCGUUGAAGGGGAGCUUUGGCGGUUGAAGGAUUCAAACGGGAUGCCGCCGGGAUUGAUUGGCCUCCAGCCAAGCAGUGCCGUGACUUUCAUCGACAAUCACGACACUGGUUCCACGCAAAAAAUAUGGCCGUUUCCGUCCGAUAAGGUCAUGCAGGGAUAUGCCUACAUCCUCACCCAUCCUGGAGUCCCAUCCAUUGUAAUGUCCUCUUGCUCUCGUUUAAUCGACUCAUCUCACUGUUGUGCUGUGUCUGUGAUGACUAAUGUACUAUGUUGAUGUCUGAAAGUUGCCAGUUACGUUGCGUUUCGCUCUAUUAUAAACCUCAGAGAAGUUCAUCUAACUUAUCCCAUUCAUUAACAAGACGCAUGCUUCUUGUAAUUUAGCACCAUAUGAAUUUGCUGAUCUUUCUUUUUUGAUUUGACCUAAGGAAAUGAUAUUUCUACUUGCGCAGUUCUAUGAUCACUUCUUUGACUGGGGCCUGAAGGAGGAGAUCGGCAAGUUGACGGCGAUAAGGGCGCGGAACCAGAUUAACGAGAAGAGCAGUGUGGAGAUCUUGGCUUCCGAUUCUGAUUUAUACGUGGCCAAGAUCGACGAUGGAGUGAUUAUGAAGAUUGGACCUAGGUUUGAAGUAGGAAACCUUGUUCCUCCCAAUUAUCAGAUUGCUACAUCCGGCCAAGAUUAUUGUGUGUGGGAGAAGAAGUGAUGUUCAGGCAAACUUAAGAAUAAGCAGCAACUGAAAGAGCAAUUAUAGGCUGCAUUGUUUGAAAU
rnacentral:lncRNA from 1 species